AGCAGCCAGAAAGUUCCAUUUGGAACUUUAUCUGAACUCGCAGUACUUGAAAGUGCAUUUUGUCAUGGGAAGCGGAACUUUUGGUUACUUGGGACUGCUGGAGAAAUUUCGGAUGAAAUCCCUGCAGAAACAUCGGAAAUAAUUUCUGGAGGAUUCUGGAGAUUCCCGGAAUCUCGGAACGAAUUUUUGGAGGUAUUCCAGAAGAGAGUUCUUGGAAAAUUUCAGAUGAAACCUCUGAAGAAAUUUCAGCAGAAACUGCUAGAAAAAUUCCAGAGGGAACCUCUGUAGGAAUUCGAAAUUAACCCCUGCGGAAUCCCAGAAGGGACUCCGGGAGCAAUCGACUUCCUGGGAGAAUCUCGGAAAGAACUUCUGGAAAGAUCCUGGAAGGAAUUCCUGGAGGAAUCUCGGAAGAAAUUCGUGGAAGAGUCUCAGAAGGAAUUCCUGGAGGAAUCCCGGGAAUGCUGGAAGAGCCUUUCUCCUGGGAAAGUUCCAGAAAGAAGUUCUAAAGAUAUCCCGGAUAGAACUAUUGAAGGAAUCUCAGAAGAAUGCCUGUGGGAAUUUCAGAACGCAUUCCUAAACGAAUCUCAGUAGGAAUUCCUAAAGAAAUCCCAGAAGGAGCUCCUGGAGGAAUCCCACCACUUCUUCUCCGUCUGUAUGGAUCUACGUUCCCACUGGAACUUGACCUGUCUCUCUUCAACUUAUUGUUCUUUGAGCACUUCCACAGUUAUUAAUUGAAGGGCUGUCUCCAUUGCAUGAAUUUGUAUAAUGUGAGGCAAGCACAUGGAGUCGAACAUGUUUUCCCGACCGGAACGGGAAUCGAACCCGCCGUCUCCGGAUUGGCCUUAACGACUAGGUUAACUGGAGGCUCACCAGUAAGUCGUUAAUUAGAACACGCGUGCGGUCUAAUAAUUUGAAUUCAACCACGAUAUCUAAUUUGAAAUACUAAAUAUAAAGGCACAUCAUCAGUGGCAGCCAUGCCUACUACUACUAGAGAGGCCAAUAAUCUCAUAAAUGUACUUCUAGCUUUUAGCUUACCACGAUAAAACCAUGGCUUGCUCAGAAGCCUUGGGCACACUUCUCCCUACAAUAGGUUACGUAUUCUACAUUGUUUAAAAAAUGUUAAAUUGUUCAAAGAAAAGUACCUUAUACCAGAUCGAAAUAUAUAACUACAAAUAUAGAAUUUCCAGAGUAAUCGCAACAGGUUGAGGACUUAUAGAAUCUACUGUGAAUGGGUUGGCAAUAUCAUUCGAAGCAUCUUUUAUAAUGCAUAAUAGGAAAAGUUAGAUUAUUUUAAAUAAUCUCAGAUACAUAAUUCAAUCGAUAAUUUCAUACAUUAAAAAAGUCUGAACAGGCCUUUUUUGUCACUGCUCAAUGAACUAGUUUGUGGCCUGAUUUGUGUAACUAGAUUUAAAUGUAUGAAGAGUCGUUGUCGCCACCAUGGAAAUGGGGUCAUUAAUAACACUUAAUGCCGUGUGGUGAUGCGUUCGUGUCGCCAGAUUGGAUGAAUAGACUACUGUCAUUGUUUUCCAUCAACUAACCACAUCGUUUUCUUGGACAUCGCGUCCGUCCUCCAUCGACGGCCGGGCUUGCGUGAAUGGCAAUGUGCCAUAAAUGGCAGAAGAGAGGAGAGACUAGAAAAGACGGGAAGUAGCAAAUAGUUUCACGAAGGCAGCUUAAUAAAUAGGUGACGAGAUUGUUAUUAUUAGGGUCAUAUUAAAUGAUAUAAGCCAGGCGUAGUCCCAAAGUUUAUCCCUCUAUCUAGUGGAUACUAGGAGACCAAAUGAUUAAUAGUGAAUUAUUCAACUACCUACAAACACUUAUUCUUCCUUCCAGACACAACAUGCCCACGUCGUCCAUCAAAACUAGCGAGGCGAGUCACCUUUCACAACAAGAAAACAUCACGUUCUUCACUUCAAUGCACUCAAACGACCUUUUACUCUAUUAUGUGCGGGCCCCAAAGUCUAUCAUACUUUUAGCGCCUGAACCAUAAAGAGGCAAUUUCGCAGGAACUACACUUUCCAAGCAGUGAGUACCAACCAACGUUCGCUCCAAACGUGAUUAUCCACUUCCGCGCAGCGCACUUAAUCCAACUGAAUGUGCAAUGCCACGCUGUUAUUGCUGCUGCGCUGCUGCUGUGCAAAAAAUCAUUGCAAUUUUUUUUCACGCCUUCCAGGAAAACUAAUAAAAUCAUAAGCCACGGCGACUCCGUCUACUAGAGCACAGACCCGCGAAUGCCCCCACGUGCUGUUUGGUCGUCCUAGGGUACCAAUUUUGUACGUUGUGUUGUAAAAUUUUGCGCUUCGUUUCUGCGCAUUAAUGCAAAUGCAGACGCAGACCACCUCUACUAGCCGUUCGGAAAAUUUGCGCCUAGACGCUUUCUGAUUGCAGCAAUUCGUCGCUCCGUCAUAGGCUGUCGUCACACAGAAUUAUUGUGAUAUACAAAUCGGCGCCGGCUUCUACAACUUUUUUUCUCAUGUGGCACCGCACCACACUUCACAACCCCCCAGAAACAGUUCGUGGUGCAAUAAUUGUUUACGUCGUAGUAAAUACUUACUAACUAAAUGGUCGUCGUCGUUGCUUUUUGCAACGGAUAUCGACUUACAACAGCACUGCGCUACUGGCGUAAUCGAGUGGAGUUUGACCCGAGUACCCGAGUAGAAAAGAAUUACAAAAAAAUAUUCCUUUUAGUUGCACUAAAUUAUGUUCCUUUAUGCCUUAUUCAUGCCUAAGUUCAUCGUACUAAUGUUUUCAGAUUUUAUUUCUUAACUGUUUUAAAAUCCAAUAAUUUUAUCAAUUUCAUUUUUCUUUUAUUUUUAUUGAUGUGUAUUUAACUAAAAGCUAAUCCUACACGCCCAAGUAACAAUUUUGAUUUUCUCGAAGUUUUUUAGCGAUUCAAAAACCCUAACCAUAUAACCAUUGAUGCCGACUUGAAAAUACUCUCGAGUUCAUUUAUGCCUCCAAAAGUCCACGAUCUGGCUAGUUGGCCCAGUCUUAUUAUGAUCUACAGGACUUCGUAUGCAAACCGGCUUAGGAUUUCGGGUUGUAUGAUAGUUUUAUCACAGACAAACAGACGUAACACUCUUCAAAACGGCUUGGCACAUGUAUUUAACUAUCAAUUCAAAUUUCAUUUGAUUUGCGCGAUCGUUCCACCAGAGGUGCUAGUGUUCGAUCGCUUUGACGUUUGCCAGUGUACACGUUGCUGAAUGAUGCAAACGAAAAUUACAGGCAAUUUGUGUAGUAGUGUGCGUGUCAGAAAAACGUCAAAUCGAAAUCCAUCAUGGCCGACAGUGACGCGCGCGGUUCUACCAACAGGUGGCAGUGUGCUCAUAGAAAUGACACCGGGCAAAAGUUUUUGAUGAAUUUCCUCUGAGAGUUACGUCUGUUUGUCUGUGAUAGGAUAUUGAUCAUAUUUUGAAAUCACUCAAAGGGGUUUUUCCCUCUUUCUAAAUUUCAAGUUAAAAUAAACAAUAACGAUAUUGAUUAUAUAGUGUUUCAUUGUAAUAAAUAUAGCGUUCCUAGAUCUAAAUUUUUCAAUAAUUAACAGAAACCUCACAACAGGUAUUCUGAAACUGUUCGAGAUAUAUUAGCAAGUAAUUUUCUCCCAAAUAUGCAAUCAUUAUAUAGAUUUUAAAAUGACAUUUCUUAUUGUGUGUGAUUUUGAAAUGUUAUGUAUUUUAUAUUUUGAAUGAUUCUUGCAUAUUUUUUCUGUCUUUUUAGGAUUGGAGAAAAUAUUAAAUCAAAGGAGCUUUGCCUGGUUUUCGUUUUUUCCGAUUGAUGAUCCAUUUUCAAGAUUCCGGCUUUGCAAUGGAUGAAUUUCGUAUGAGCCUCUAGAAUAGUUAUACAGUACUUUUUCGAUUAUAUCACGAAUGAAUAAAAAUUUCGCGUGAUAUAUUGGAGCGUGAUAUAAUUGAAUCAUCUUUUUCCGAAGGCGUUUAUUAAUCAAAAUACACUUGCACACAAAAAAAUCAAACAAAAAACGAACAAAAUAUCAAACCCGGCAAUGGAAGUCUAAUAUUCUUGUAUGUAAUUAUUUUUUAAUGUCUCUGAAAAUAAAAUCAAAUAAUGGAGGUAUUAUUUGCACUUCUACAUCAUAUUUUUUGAACUUCAUGCUUCCAUAUGUUGUCGAUUUUCAAUCUUUACACAGCAAAAUAAAGAUAAUUGCUUAAAUUUAUCGUCGAGUACUUAACAUUUUCAAAAGUGUUUCCAGAAGGUUGGGAAUUUCUGGUUGAAAAAUCAAAAUUUGACAUUUUUGCGAUGUUGUCGCGUUACGCUUUGUUGUACAAUUGUCUCGAAGUUUAAAGGUUCUGUCUUUAAUUUCUGAUCGUUCGAUAUGCUGGUUGGCAUUAAUUGAACAGCAUAUCAACUUUAAAAAUCCGGUAAAUUUACAAAAUGUUAGUUAUCCCUUCGGAAGUGAAGUGAAACCGUAGGUCCUGACAUGAACGAGCCCCGGAUUGUGAAGCUCGUUAAUAAUAAUUAAAAUACAAAAAAAAAUCAAAGUAAGUUUCUAACGGAAAACGCCUUUUUCUUCUACUUCUUCUUUGUGACUAUACGUUCCCAAUGGAACUAGGGCUGCCUCUCUUCAACUUAGUGUUCUUUGAGUACUACCACAGUUAUUAACUGAAGGGCUUUAUUUGCCUGCCAUUGUAUGAAUUUGUAUAUUGUGGGGCAAGUACAAUUAUACACUAUGCAUAGGAAAGUCUAGAAAAGUUCCCGACCGGAAUGGGAAUCGAAGCCGCCGUCUCUGAAUUGGCGAUCGAAAACUUUAUUCACAAAGGCUAACUCGCUAACUGGAGACCCCUGAUGGAAAAUGUAAUGCAUGGAAUUGACGCAUACAGACCGGAUUCGAUGCAGAGCAAAGCAUGGGAAUGUAACUCUAGAUAAUCGAAUCCUGUGUCCGGUCUGUCACCAAUGGCACCAUAAUCGUAUACUAAUGUGCAAAAUAUCUUACUUAUGACGAUUCAUGUAUCCUUUAUAGUUUGGAAUAUGUGCUGGGCGAUAUUUGUAUCGAUUAUCAUAACGUGAAAUAAUCGAAAAAAAUAGCGUGCUAAAAUCGAGUGUGAUAUAAUGAAGCGUGAUUAAAUAGGACCGUGACAAAAUCGAAAAACCACUGUAUUUUAAUUUUUGGAUUUUUGUAAUACAGUGGCGUUUCGGUUUUAUCACUAGUCGUUUUAAUCACUACUCGCCCAAAUUCACGGUUUUCUGUUCGAUUAUAUCACGAUUUUCAUUUCGUUUUUAUCACACUUGUUUAAAAACAUUCCGAAAUCAAUAUAAAAUCAAUACAGCAUUGUCCAGUCCACCAAAACAGUUAAAAAAUAUAAGCUACGACGUAUAUAUUUUGCAGCGAAACGAUUUUGGAUAAAAAAAUUACAUUUAUUUCUCGUUUCGCUAAAUUCACGGUUUCGUUUAUAUCACGGUAAAAUUUUUUUUGACCGUGAUAAAACCGAAAAACCACUGUAAUAUUUGAAAAGAUAAGGAGGUUUUGCGCCCUUUUGAGAACGAUUUCACUUAAGGGAGCUUUUCACUCUUUCUAAAUUUUGAGUUAAAAAUAAACAAUAACGUUCAAGUUGUGACAAACCUACAGUGUAUCAAACAAUUGUCCGUACAGCAAUGUUUUGGUCAAAAUAAUUUUGCAUUUAGAUGAUUAUAACUUUUUUAUACGUCAAUCAAAAACGCUGAAAUUUUGACCAAUUAUAACCCAUAUAUUAAAGCUUCAUUGGUAAAAUUUUGAGCGAGAUCGAAUAAGUUUUCUGAAAGUUAUAGAACUUUUAGUAAAACUUAUAAAAUUUUUGAAUACAUUUGUAAAACAUUAUAUCUCAAUAUGUACUUGAUGAACCUUUUGCAAUAUUUUUCGUGUUACAGCUUAUACCUAAGGCUUUCAUAUGCAGCUUCGUUUAAGGUUUUAUAUUCACUACAAAAAAUGUGAAAAAUCUGUAUAUAUUCAGAGUGUUAUUUGGAAAUUUAUCAUAUUUUGAUCAAUAAAAGUGCCAAGUGUUUUCAACUAUUUUUAACUCUCUUAAUGGUAUAUUUUUAUACAGGACCUACUAAACUACAUAAAAAGAGUAGGUCCUAUGGAUUUUUUGUUCAGUUAAUGCACUUUUAUUGGUGGAAAACGUUUGGCAGAUUAUAUGUGCAAAAUAUGGUAAAUUUUAAAACAUCGUCAACUACAUACGCACAUUUUUCAUAUUUUUUGUAGUUAAUAUAAAACCACAAACAUGGCUGCAUAUGAAAUCCUUAGGUAUAAGAUGUAACACAAAAAAAUUGAAAAAAAUUCAUCGAGUACAUAUUGAGAUAUAAUGUUUUAAAAAUGUGUUCAAAAAUCUUAUAAGUUUUACUAAAAGUUCUAUAACUUUCAGAAAACUUAUUCGAUCUCGCUCAAAAUUUUACCAAUGGAGCUUUAAUAUAUGAUUUAUGAUUGGUCAAAAUUUCAGCCUUUCUGAUUAACGCAUAAAAAAGUUAUUAACAUUUGAAUGAAAAAUUAUUUUGACAAAGUAUUUACUGUACGGACAAUUGUUUGAUACACUGUAUGUCGGGUUGGGUAGAUUGUCGCAACCAAGUCAGGUUGUGACAGUGUCAUUAUUGUUACGCGAUGGUUGAGAUUUGAUUCUGUGCUUCAAAACGUAAUCAAUUAAUAUUUCCUCCUGGGAUUUGUGAAACAGAAAUACAUAUUUCGCCCAGUUCAGAAAUGUCACACUCAUACCUAAUUUUAUUCUUAAGCUCUCGCUAUUUUUUUUUAAUCGGGCACUAUAGAUCAUAUUCAUUGCCUUUCAUCACAUUAAAUUCCCGGGGAUUGUAACAUAAGGCUGAAUUUCAAAAGGCUAAAUGCAUAAAAGGCUGAAAUACCAAAAGGCUGAAAAUUGAAAUAGCUGAAAAUUCCAAAAUGCAUAUAGGGUGACGAUGGGUAUUAUCGGCAGGUUUGUUCUCUUCGUCAUGGGGGGAUUUUGUGGGCCGAAUUGCCUGAAAUUUGAGCAUAUAACUCAGCUUGGUUGGGAAGGAUUUGGGGCCAACUCUGAGACCUACAGGUUUCAAAAAACCCCCCAUGACGAAGAGAACAAAACUGCCGAGAAUACGUAAGUUCCCCUAUAAGUUAUACCACGUCUUCCUUUUCUUGGAGUAACGCCCGAACUGAGAUCGAGCCUGCUUUUCAGCUUUGGCAUAUCGUGUAACUGGCAUGAAUGAAUAUACUCAAUGCCAAAAGGGAGUCAAGACAAUUUUCAUAAUGAAAAGUUCUUGGUCCGAACACGAACUGUACGCGUAGCCCUCAGCAUGGGCCCUAGUUUCUAAACUGAGCUUAUAGUGAAAAGGCUAAUGAUGCAUACCAACUGUGAGAUAUAAGAUGUACUGCAUAAAGCUGUGGAAAGGAGAUUGAUCACAGCAGGCGAUAUAGCGCAUUUGAAUGUGAUGCGAACUGUCAAGCAGACAACGUUAGCAUCCCUGCUUGCAUAGCAACAGCUCCAGGCGUCACCCAACCGCGUUCGCUCUUGCCACUUGCGAACCGACGUCAGCCUGGGUAAGUUGUGUGUGCUGCACGUGAGGGGUGAUUCCUUCCUACACUGAGAAAAAUUCUAUAGUGAAAAUAACCAUCAGUACAUGCUUAAUUUUACCAUGCCUGAACAUAGUAAUGGCGACUUAAUUUUCGAUUAUGACUACUAUGUUUUACUUAGAAUUACCAUGUCCUGACAAGCAAACAAAUAGUAAUCAUUACAAUCCAACAUAGUUAACCUAAUCACACCAUUCGCGUUUGCAAGAACUAUGUUUAUGUUUGGUCACACAAUUCCCAUGUUUAGUUGGAACACAUUUUAUUUUCAUAAUAGUUUUUCGGCCAUCUUUGUGGAAUAUUAGAAAAGUUGAGUGCUUGACAAAAUUGUUUACAUCAAAAAGCCUUAAUUUAAGAAGCAUGACAAAAUUAAAAUUAAGCAAAUUAAGGUUCCGUGCUUCGAACAAUGUCGCCAAUCCAGAACCGUGAAACAACGCUCAUGCUGUAGCCGAGAAACGAGAAAACAGCUUGGGAAAAGAAGGAAUCUCCGUUUUCCGCCGAUAAAAAAUCCCAAUGAUGGACUUUUGCCACUGAUCGAACAUGUCACGCCGUCGAAAUCCAUGUUGUUCCCUGUCUUGAAUUCCCAUUGCCUAGGCAUUUAAGCAACCCUGGCAGGACUGACCCUUUUUUCAGUGUAAGGAGCAACCGGAAGUUCUGUCACCACCAGAAAUCGAGAGACUUCAAGAAUCUACGCGGGACUCGCUCCCAUUCCGAAGCUGUGCGUUGGUGCCGCAUUUCGACCAGCUUAAACGGUCCCCUCACCUUCCAUCUCAUCUCCGCUAAUCAUUGUGGUCACCGAGACGUUCACAUCCACGAAACCACCAACCCGAAGUACAUGAAGCUGGACAGAAAGCCAAUCCUCGGAGAAGCUUCUUCCGCCGGUUCUGCAUCCACCACAGCAGUAAGUUCCCAAACAUUGCCACCCAAUCCCAGGUACAUUUUCCGCCGAACUUUCAUACGAAUCCGGAAACCACUCUGACAUCGGAUGGAUCCUCAUAAAAAAUAAUUUGCUUCAGUCACCCACGGAGAAUAUAAGUCACCAAGUGUUUGUUUCGCCAAAAGUUUAUUUAUUUCCUUAUAAUUCCUAAUAAAAGCAAUAAUUCAAACAGAAUUUACAUUUCGGUAUUUUUUUCUCUCAAAGUAAACAAAACAAAUGACACUACCAUUAAACCACGCGCAUAGUAAUCGAAACCAAAUUGCGAUGGUCAAACGUACUAUACUGUUUACCAUGCGUAUAGUAAAAUUAACUACGAAACGAGAUUCAAAAUCACCAUGAAAUGUAUACAAAAAGCACAGACAAACAGACAUAACUCUUAAAGGAAAUUCCUCAAAAACUUUUGCCCGGUGUCUUUUUUAUGAGCACACUGCCACCUGUUGGUAGAACCGCGCGCGAUACUGCGGCCAUGAUGGAUUUCAAUUUGCCGUUUAUCCAACACGCACACUACUAAACAAAACGCCUGUAAUUUUCGUUUGCAUCAUUCAGCAACGUACACUGGCAAACGUCAAAGCGAUCGAACACUAGCGCAUCUGGUGGAAGGAUCGCGCAAAUCAAAUGAAAUUUAAAUUGAUCGUUAAAUGCAUGUGCCAAAUCGUUUUGAAGAGUGUUACGUCUGUUUGUCUGUGCAAAAAGCUACAUAGUAAAUUGAACCCCUCACAUGGUAGUUUCAAGAAAAUAAUAUGGUCUACCAAAAUCAAGUAGUAAAGUUGUUUUAAUUUAACCCUCGAUACAGUCACAAUUACCAUGUCCCUUUUUUCAGUGUAGUGAAAUACCAAACUCCACAUUGGCGAAUUCCUGCCAGUUUUUUCGUUCAAUUGAGGAAAUGGAACCUAUAUUUUUGCUGGGAGGAAUCACCCUUCAAUGUGCAUGCAUUAGUGAACAAGUGAGGGAAACACAAAACCCAUAUGUGAAAAGUGGAAGUUCGGUGUGAUAUUUUUCGGGGACGUUGCUCCCGCUGGAGCAUGCCUGCGGAAAACUGUUAGUGCAUGGGCAAUUAUUGACGGGAAAGAGUGUGAAAGUGCAACAAAAGAACAAAUUCCAGCAGCGCUAGAGUGAUCGAAUUGUUUUGUUUUGUGCUUACAGCGUGUUGUUUGUCGUGGAGGAAGACUCCCGGCAAUGUCCGCUUACGAAAAGCUAGGUUAGAAAGAUCCUGUUGUUUUGCUUCGCGCAAAUGUCGGAUCGGAAGCUUACAGCGUGUUGUUUGUCGUGGAGGAAGACUCCCGGCAAUGUCCGCUUACGAAAAGCUAGGUUAGAAAGAUCCCGUUGUUUUUCUUCGCGCAAAUGUCGGAUCGGAAGCUUACAGCGUGUUGUUUGUCGUGGAGGAAGACUCCCGGUAAUGUCCGCUUACGAAAAGCUAGGUUAGAAAGAUCCCGUUGUUUUGCUUCGAGCAAAUGUCGGAUCGGAAGCUUACAGCGUGUUGUUUGUCGUGAAGAGAGAGUCCCGGCAAUUUCCGCUGACGAAAAGCUAGAUUGGAAAGAUCCCGUUGUUUUGCUUCGCGCAAAUAUCGGAUUGGAAGUUUGCAUCGUGUUGUUUGUUAUAGCAGAUAAACAUUGGCAAUGUACGCAAAAAAAAUUUAAGAAAAAUCACAUAGUUUUGAUUCGUGCAAAUGUGGUAUCGAAUGGUUACAAUAUAUUAUUUAUCAAAGAGUGUCGUCAAUGUUGGUUGGCCAGAAGAAGGAUUAUGUUAAUGCAGUUUGUUUUCUGUGACUAGUGUUCCAAUGAACGGCAAGGCAAUAAACUUUAUCUAUAAUGUAUUUUAUCAGAUAUAUCGAAUUUAAACGACGGAGCAAUGGGAUAAAUUUGGGUAUAAAAUUAAAUAAAAAGACUCAAAGAACAAGAUUUUUUUUCUGGAUCACCCAGUACCAAAACGGUAAUUUCUUUUAAAUACUACAAGUAUAGAGGCUUGCAUUACCAACAUAACUAACGAAAUGAGAUACAAUUUGUAAGCAUUGCCCUCAAAAUUAUUUCGCGAGCAAGGACGGCUGUAUCGAGUGACCCCGAACGAGAGAAAGAGAGAGAGAGAGAGAGAUAAUGACGUCACUGUGCAAGCUCCUAUUGCUCGUCGGAAAAUAUCAUUCCCACAAUUAAGCACUAAAAUGUUCGAGCUAUUUUGAAAAAAGUAGCAGCAGCACAGUCAGAAUGGUACCUCACAAUGAAACUGUAUUCGGUAGCUUCAUGGCAGCAAUUGCAACGUAUGCGAUGAUGUAAUAUAACAGUAACUUAUUGUCCGUUGUGAUGAUUUAUAGAUUCCGACGCAAAUGAUUAGGCUCAUUUUCAGCGUAGGUGCGUUAUAAAUGUUUGCUUACAAUGCAAAACUAUCACCAAAUGUGUACCUAGCAACACAGCGUAAAAUAUUCACCAGGACGCGGUCUGGUUUUAUAUCUGUGGGCCCACGCAACUAAUUGUUGCGCAGAAGUCUAAACAAGUGGAAUAUCCGCAAUAUGUUAAAUCGUUAUAAGUAAACACUCCAAAUUGAGAUACGGAAAUUCUUUUUUUUUUUUUGUUAAAAAUGUGUAAAACUUCUUUAGAGUAGAAGAAGGAUGUGAGAUAUAAGAUGUACUGCAUAAAGCUGUGGAAAGGAGAUUGAUCACAGCAGGCGAUAUAGCGCAUUUGAAUGUGAUGCGAACUGUCAAGCAGACAACGUUAGCAUCCCUGCUUGCAUAGCAACAGCUCCAGGCGUCACCCAACCGCGUUCACUCUUGCCACUUGCGAACCGACGUCAGCCUGGGUAAGUUGUGUGUGCUGCACGUGAGGGGUGAUUCCUUCCUAGUGAAAUACCAAACUCCACACCAACGAACACAAAAAGGAACUGAUAAUAUUCAUAUCGAUAAUUUAUCCUUUAAACAUGAGCUAUUCUCUUGAGCCAUGUUGUUUUGGGGAUGGUUGUAAUUACGGCUACUAAAACAAUAUCAUCAGAGAUUUUUAUAUGCUAUUCUUUUGAAAAAUACUGUCUUAGUAUUAGUCGUAGAACUUUCCAAUUCAGAACAUAGUAACCGAAGCAUGUUCCCACAAUACGACUUAGUUUGGCCAACCAUGAACUAGGGACAGUAGGACGGUCAAUCGUCAAGCUCAAUCAAAACCAAAACGAGUGUACCGGCUGGGUAAUCGACCAACAAACAAAUUUUCAAAUAGAUCGUAGAAUCAAUGAAUGUAUAUAAUUAUUCCCAAUUGGCGUGAUCUGUUUGUCUGAGUUGUUAGUGUUGAGAUUAGCCUUAAGGUUUGAAAACUAGUCGAAUUACUGUUUCAGCCUUAUGUUAUUUCAGCCUUUUGAUGCAAUAAGCCUUCUGUAAGUUCAGCCUUUUGUACGUAACCCAAUUCCCGGUAGUGGCACGCCAUUUGUACAAACAUUCGGUUGAUUCAUGUAUAUUUGUUGCCCAUCAUUCGUUGAAUCGGACGAUUAGCGCGUGUCGAUCCGCUUAAAACUCAUACACAGCAAAAACGGAGUGUUAUAUGGUGUUGUAGUCAUGUUACAAAAAUAAAAGAAAAUUAAUUAUUACAAAGGAUUAACAUAUCACUACACAUGUAUUUUUUUUUCCUCCCCGCUGUUGGGGAAAUUAAGCUGAACUUUUGUGACAUGUCCUGUUUUGACAGCUUCUGCCACGACGGGUCGUCUCCCACACUGAAAUAAAUUUUGCUGUGGAAACUACCGAUUCCAUAGUAAAAUUACUAACCGUACCUAUGAUUCUCAACCGACAACAAUUUCCAGUUAAUUCUACUAAAACACUGUCAACUUAACUAGCAGUGCAGUUAACAUUACUAAAAUUAAUCUUAAUUUAACAAAUGAGCAUUGUAUUUUUAAUCACAUUGUGUUGUAAAAUGCGUGUCCAGGAAAAAUGAACAAUGUUUUGUUGUUGAGACGACUACGCUUUAAGUUGAAUUUACUACAAUGCAUUGUAAUUUCAAGCAUAUUUCAGUUAGCCUAACAGAUUUUGUUGUCGGUUGAGAAUCAUAAUUACUAACAUGGAAUCGGUAGUUUCCACAACAAAAUUUAUUUCAGUGCAGUCAGGUGCAAUGGAAUUUAUUGUAGAUUUAGCACUAAAUUGGCGUCGGAAGUAACUUCAUUUACUUCCGCCGCCUUUCCUAUGUGUGAAACAUAACGUCGAAGGCAGUGCGCUGAACAGAGCAUGAGAUUUUCUAUACAGCGCACUAAUUCAGACAUUAUGUUCAACACAUAGGAAAGGCAGCGGAAAUCAAUGAAGUUACUUCCGACACCAAUUUAGUGAUAAAUCCACAACAUAAACUCCAAGACCUUGCCAGGUUCUGCAUACCAGAUCUCACUAGGUUGCAAGCAACCAAUAUUUAGAAAUCUUUGUCUGCACGUUUUUGAAGCACCACAACUGCAAAGCAGGUGUUCCGAGGUUUUACGUUCCCUAUUAUAGAAACGACAAAUAUCACUCUGGAUUUGGCCAAUAUUUUUCAAGUGAACCCGCUCGGGCAGUGUCCAGUUACUAGGCCAGUGUAUGUGUACAUACAUAGAGUUCUAGGAGCUUUUUGGUUUUAUAAGCAUUUGGUGUUAUACAACUGUGUUCAUAAACAUAGCAGUGAAACCCGUUUUCCAUACAAAUUGACCAACUUUGACAAGCUAUAACUUUGUGCUCCUAUGAGCGAUUGAGCUGAAAAUUUGACAGCGAACUACAAAUAUAAUGAAUAUUGUUAUAGCAAAUUUGAGAUUUUUCGAAGCUCGUAGGAAAAAACCUGAGUGCUGCGAAUAGAAACGGUUUUAUUUUUCAAGCUAGCCAACACACAACUUCCCACUCGCGGCACACAGCUUGUAAACACGCACGAGCGUUCAAUUUUCUUGCAACCACCUCUCUCAGCUCGGUUGUCAAACACGCCGUUGCGACGCUGUUCGGAAAUGGUAAACAUGAUCAACCCACCAUCAUUCCAAUUUUGUUCUCGUGUUCAAAGUUUAUUAUUUUCCAUUCGCGAUGGAAAUUUUGAUGAAUAGUUUUUACAAAAUUAGCUAAAAUAGGCUCAAAACAAUGUUUAUCCUUCUCCUCGCUUUCCAACGGCUUGACAGCGGCAACUGGAGAUAUCGUGACAACAAUUUUGAUUAUAUCCGCAGCACUUAGAUAACAAUACUUUUCAAUCAAUCACACAGAUUCAACAAGGUUUAACAUAACCUCUAUCUUCAAUGUUUGGCUCCCGAUGUUUGGCUCCCGCUGAGAGAGCAUAUUGAGUCAGUCCGCGAGACUCAGGAAAAAACUAAACACAUUUCUUACUUCUUCAAGAUAAAGCUACAUUUCAGUUUAUUUACACUGCUAUUUUGAACAAUUUCACAUAGUGUUAAAUUUUUUUUCCCACGAGCUUCAAAAGUUCUCAGAUAUUGCUACAACAAUAUUCACCAUAUUUGUAGUUCGCUGUCAAAUUUUCAGCUCAUUCGCUCAUAGGAGCAUAAAGUUACAGCUUGUCAAAGUUGGUCAUUUUGUAUGGAAAUCGGCUUUCAUUGCUAUUUUUAUGAAUACAGCUGCAAAUCGUUUUGACUGAUUGCAAUUUUUUACAUCCAUCCAAUUGGAUAUCACCCUCUGCUCAGGCCAGCUUUUCAGGUCCAUUUUUAUUGUUAUUGUGUAUUGUUAUUAUACCGCAGAAUGGUUCUGGGCCAGCAAACUGUAAAUUGGAACCACUUUUAGCAAACUCGUCUGCCAUUUUAUUCCCUUCAAUGCCACAAUGACCUGGAACUCAGUAUAAGUUUACUGAAUGGAGUUCUUGGUCCAACUUUCGCAGUGAAAGAAUGCAUUUCCAGACAAGCUUUGAAGUGCAUUGCUUUUAGUACAGCUUGACUACCUGAGGAAAUACCAAUAUUUGCAUAUCUGUAUUUUCUCUCAAGGUAGAUAUUUGCACAUUUCAAAAUAGCAAGAAUCUCUAUUGAAACACCGUAGGACAGUGUCCCAUCACCACUCAAAUUUUUAUUCCAGGAGCAUAAAUUCAUGCUUCCGUUAUUAUUCCAACUUUUGAGCCAUCUGUAUAGAAUUUGAUUGAUGCUUGACGAACAGUGGGACCUCCGACGUCCCAAUCUGCGCGAAUAGUUCCGUGCAGCUUGUAGGGAACAUCAUGGUUUUCCACAGGUUUCAUCCAGUCACAGACAAACAGACGUAACUCUUAAAGGAAAUUCAUCAAAAACUUUUGCCCUGUGUCUUUUUCAUGAGCACAUUGCCACCUGUUGGAAGAACCACGCGAGACACUGUCGGUCAUGAUGGUUUUCUAUUUGACGUUUGUCUAACACGCACACUACUACACAAAUCGCCUGUAACUUUCCUUUGCAUCAUUCAGCAACGUGUACACUGGCAAACGUGAAAGCGAUCGAACACUAGCGACUCUCGCGGAAAUCAAAUGAAAUUUGAAUUGAUCGUUAAAUACAUGUACCAAGCCGUUUUGAAGUGCUAUGGCCCUCAUUAAUGCACUAUGAAUGUGUAUAAUUUGGGGCCCUUUGUAUUCUCUCCGAAACAGUUUCGUCAUACUUUCCUCUCACUAUAAUGACUAUAUCGUAAAAGACAAUUGUAUCACAGACAAACAGACGUAACACUCUUCAAAACGGCUUGGCACAUGUAUUUAACUAUCAAUUCAAAUUUCAUUUGAUUUGCGCGAUCGUUCCACCAGAGGUGCUAGUGUUCGAUCGCUUUGACGUUUGCCAGUGUACACGUUGCUGAAUGAUGCAAACGAAAAUUACAGGCAAUUUGUGUAGUAGUGUGCGUGUCAGAAAAACGUCAAAUCGAAAUCCAUCAUGGCCGACAGUGUCGCGCGCGGUUCUACCAACAGCACUAUGGGCCAGAAAUCAAAAUUUCGCGACAAAAUUCAAAAAAGUUGUUUUUCUAAUAUCAAUCAAUUUUCAUAUUUACAGUGGGGUUCCGAUUUUGGCAACAAAAUUUUUAUUUUCAGUUGCCAAAAAUGGAACCGUGCUAAAAUCGGAAUCUCUUUUCAUCAAUUUUUUUUUACAUUUCUCUGUUUGUAAAUGAUAAAAUAAUAUGCCCAGUUAUCACUAUGGAACCAUUGGACGAUCUAACCUCGGAACAAUUAGUUUGUUUACAUUUCCGUAGAGCAGUGUGUAGACUCAUCACACUGUUACAAAUGAAUGGAUCCCUAAAAUAAAAUAUCCUUAUGUGGGUAGCUAGUUAUAUUUGUUACUUUUUUGAAGCAUAAUUGGAAUUCUAUGUGAACUAUUUCCAUAAAUGUCCUUUGUGCGAUUUAUAACCGCAUUAGUGACGUUAAAACGCCUUAAAAGUAUAAAAUCUAUGAUUAUAUUGAUUUCAGAUUUAAAGACUUUACAGGUUGUGUGUUUUGGAAAUAUAGAAUGACAAACAGAGCAAUCAAUAAUAGAAAAUUGAGUAAGUUGAGUAAGGCCUUAAAAUAUGACAUUGUUUGCCAGGAAAGAAGGUGUUACAACCAAGUUGUACUGCAAAGAGGCAGCAUUUACUUUGCCCAAAAAAUCUUGUGGAUGUAUUUCCAUAUUUCGCAGCGAAAUUCAUGUGUAAAUUCCUAUAAUAAUCUAUGGAAAUCUCGAAAAGAGACAAUGAGCUAUACAGACUGAACGACUCAUAAUUGAACAGCGAACACUAGACAGAGACCAGAACUCAGCAAACAUUUUGACCGUAUAAGCAUCGAAUAAACUGCUUUUAACCCUCGAGUGAUCGCGCUGUUGUAUUUUGUACAACAUGUUGAAAUAAUCUCGUUUUAUGUUCUCAGCAUUAGCGUGGUGCUGACGGUGGUGGCCAACCGCGCGAGUUACGGAAGGUUAACCUAACUCACCUAACUUCAACUAAAGAAACUGUUGUUCAACUACUUCUGUUUUAGGUAUGCCGAUGAAACUUGUAUAUUUUUAAGAGCCCCGGAUGAACUUAUAUGAAAAUUUCCUUGAUGAAUUCUGAGAGGGUCAAAUGAGAUUUUUUUUAUGAAUUUCUAGAUGACUGGAGAUAUUAACAGAGCCAAUCAAGAAGCCAAAAUGUAUCACUAUUAGACAAAUAGUGAGAUCGUACCCUUAAAGUCUAUACAAUAAUUCUCUCAAAGCAAUUUUUCACAAAUUCUCUAAAGCAAAAGUACCCCUUGUGCUCUCAAGGAGAACACUUUCGCUUUGUAAGUAAAUGGCCAGAGGUUCAAUUCCUAGCCAACAUUAUUCAAUCUAUCGUUGCUACUCUAAUCAACUGCUCUUACGAAAGGAUAAUUGGGACUACAUUACUGUAUGGAAUGACACACAUUAGCAACGAUAUGAACAAAAAUACCACGUGCUCAUCAUUCAACAGUCAUCAAAAGUAGAAAAGCAAGCAUUAUCGAAGCUUUUAGUGUGAACAAGAUCAUAAAUAAGAAACAAAAUAUCGUUCUACUCUGUAUUUGUAAACAGCUCAUGCUCUAGCCCUAGUGGACAAACGACUGACUACAAAUGUGUGAGAAAGUGAAUUACAAAAGACAUACUUUGAACAUCGAAGCCACUGCUAAAAAGUCGUGGAUAUUCACCAUGUCCAAUGGCCAUGCUGAGGCUGACGGGAUUAAUCCCCGGUAUGUUCAGGAUCAUUUUUAAAGAAAAUUUCCUCAACUUUCAUGGGCACAGAGUAUCUUCGUGCUUGUCGUACGAUAUAUACACAAUGAUAAUUGUGGAAGUGCUCGAACACUAAGCUGAGAAGCAGACCUUGUCCUAGUUGGGACGUAAUGUCAAAUAAGAAAGAUCUACUCGGUUGUGUGCACACUACACACAAUAAGAAGUUGGAAAUAAUAUAAAAUGUUGUAUAAAGCCAUACAUCACGUAAUAGGGAUACGUGCGGCAAACAUGAAUGGGCUGGUUCCUUUGUAUGAAUGCAGAAAUAGCAUAAAAUCAAUAAUAUCUCUUAUUAAUAUAAUACAAGUUGUCUAUUAGGAGAAUUAUUUAUCGAUAUUUGUUAUAUUUUAUUAGAUUUGAAAAUGUUGUGAAAAACGGAAUCCUUUGUUGCCAAAUUCAAGGGGUGCCAAAAACGGAACAUGCCAAAAAUGGAGCAUGCCAAAAACGGAAUCCCACUGUAUAUGAUUGUUUGGGCUAUGUUUGAUUACAUACCGACUGAUUUUUUCGAUUUGUAACAAAAUUGUAUGGUUUUUUGUAUGGAGAAACUUCUUAUAGGCGAAAAUUAUCGAUUUUAUCCAAUAUUAAGAAAAAUGUGAAUUGCAAUGAAAACUGUACCCAACAAAUAUAACGCAUACAUUUCCUAACAGUAAAUUUAGUAUAUUUUGCAUAUUUGGUGUACAAAUUGCGAUGCUUUCAAGUUGAAAAAUAAAUUUUACAAUAUUUACUCAAAUUUUACGGUUUAUUUGCCAAUGUGUUAAAAAAGUAGGAGUAUUCGAGCGUAUUCGACAUGCAACCGGUCUAGGAUGCUACACGCAGAAAAAUAAAUUGUAAACAUAAUUAAAUUCUAGUUCAAAUCAACCGAUUUUUCAGUUUACUAUACACGCAGAAAAAUAAAUUGUAAACAUAAUUAAAUUCUAGUUCAAAUCAACCGAUUUUUCAGUUUACUAUAGCGACAAACUGAUUUCUAGUUUAAACUGAACUGUUGCAUUGUUUGAUAAUACAAAUGUUUUCAUUUGACGAAAUUUUUCACAGUUUGUUAGAACAAACAGAGAUUUGGUAGUUUCAACAUAAAAUAACAGAUUGUUUUAAACGACUGCACUUUUGUGACUAACAAAGCCGGAAUGUGAUUGUGUUGGUGACGGCAGCUCCUGCGGCAGCUCGGAAAUCUAUUUUUAGACCGUCGGUGAGCGAAUGGGGAGGAGAACGACUAAAAAAAAGACAAAAAAGGCGAAGCCGAUCAACUUUUUGUGGAUGCUGUCGUGAGUACCUGCGCAUUAUCCAUCACGACCAAAGCUGCACUUGGAAGUUGGCGUGAUGGAUUUGCUGCACCUUCUUCGUUGUGGCGAUGUUGGGGUAAGCAUUUUAUAGGUGUGUGAGUGCUUUCGGACCAUGUUUAUGGUUUUUAUUUUGUUGAAACAAAUGAAAUUUUUGACAUUAUAUGAAAUGAUGGUAAUCGGUUGUUUUUAUCGAUAAACUCUAAAUGAAAACAAUUAAAUAUAACUUUGGAAUAAGUAAAUUCUCAGUUUGAAAAUCAAUCAUGCGUUUUAUUGUUUUAAACAAGCGCCAUUUUUCUGCGUGAAGACUCUUCUUUUUCGAAUGCUUCCGGACUUUUUUGCGGGAAUUUGCGGGAAACCAAGUUAGAGUGAUUUUAGUGCUUGCUUUAAUUUUACAAUAUUUCACGCUGUGCUUCAAUAAUCAUCCACUCUUGCCAUUGCGACGCAAUGACUUUAUGGCUUGCGAAACAAUGUACAUAGCAACAAACAACUAUCAUUCUGGAAGAUUUUGUUUCAGAUAUAAAUUUGAUUAAGCUUUUAAAUCAAGACGACACACUUACUAAAAGUUCAAAGUUUCAUUCAAUUUUUGUUAAUUGUCCUAGAACUCAAUAUGGUUUAAAAAAUCUUUUCUACAAAGGAACAACAAUGUAUAAUUCCCUGCCUAACGAAUUAAAAUUGCUUAAUCUUAGUCAUUUUAAGCGUAGCCUAAAACAAUAUUUGUAUAAUCUGCAUUAGGUUUUUCUUUGAAAACAGCCAACUGAAUUAAUAGGUCCACUACUAGAGUAGCUGGUCACAGUUUGUUAUAAACUUUUAGCUACGAAUUGUAUCAAUAAAUAAAAAAAAAAAAAAAAAAA